CGCAAGCCUGAUGCAGCCAUGCCGCGUGUAUGAAGAAGGCCUUCGGGUUGUAAAGUACUUUCAGCAGUGAGGAAGGUGGUGCAGUUAAUAGCUGUAUCAUUUGACGUUAGCUGCAGAAGAAGCACCGGCUAACUCCGUGCCAGCAGCCGCGGUAAUACGGAGGGGUGCGAGCGUUAAUCGGAAUUACUGGGCGUAAAGCGCAUGCAGGUGGUUUGUUAAGUCAGAUGUGAAAGCCCCGGGGCUCAACCUCGGAAUUGCAUUUGAAACUGGCAGACUAGAGUACUGUAGAGGGGGGUAGAAUUUCAGGUGUAGCGGUGAAAAUGCGUAGAGAUCUGAAGGAAUACCGGUGGCGAAGGCGGCCCCCUGGACAGAUACUGACACUCAGAUGCGAAAGCGUGGGGAGCAAACAGGAUUAGAUACCCUGGUAG
rnacentral:rRNA from 1 species